rnacentral:rRNA from 1 species
AUUGAACGCUGGCGGCAGGCCUAACACAUGAAAGUCGAGCGAGCGGCGGAAGGGUGAGUAAUGUCUGGGAAAAGGCCUGAUGGCGGGGGAUAAAUAAUGGAAACGGUAGAUAAUACAGCAUACAAUAAGAUGUGACAAGAGGGGAUUAGCUAGGAGGUGGGGUAACGGCGCACCUAGGCGACGAUCCCUCGCUGUUCUGAGAGGAUGACCAGCCCCACUGUAACCGAGACACGGUCCAGACUCCUCCGGUAGGCAGCAGUGGGGAAUAUUGCACAAUGGGCGCAAGCCGGAUGCAGCCAUGCCGCGUGUGUGAAGAAGGCCUUCGGGUUGUAAAGCACUUUCAGCGGGGAGGCGUUACCCGCAGAAGAAGCACCGGCUCACUCCGUGCCAGCAGCCGCGGUAAUAC